UACGUAGGCAGCAAGCGUUGUUCGGAGUUACUGGGCGUAAAGAGUGUGUAGGCGGUUCUCUAAGUUUGGUGUGAAAUCUCCCGGCUCAACUGGGAGGGUGCGCCGAAAACUGGAGGGCUCGAGUGCGGGAGAGGAGAGCGGAAUUCCUGGUGUAGCGGUGAAAUGCGUAGAUAUCAGGAGGAACACCUGCGGUGUAGACAGUUCUCUGGACCGCCACUGACGCUGAGACACGAAAGCGUGGGGAGCAAACAGG
rnacentral:rRNA from 1 species